rnacentral:misc_RNA from 1 species
AAGUCGUAACAAGGUUUCCGUAGGUGAACCUGCGGAAGGAUCAUUAACGAAUAACUAUGGUGUCUUGGUUGUAGCUGGCUCCUCGGAGCAAUGUGCACGCCCGCCAUUUUUAUCUUUCCACCUGUGCACCGACUGUAGGUCUGGAUACCUCUCGCCCUUCACAGGGCGGAUGCGAGGGUUGCCCGUAACACGGCUCUCCUCGAAUUUCCAGGCUCUACGUCUUUUUACACACCCCAAUAGUAUGAUGCAGAAUGUAGUCAAUGGGCUUCUCAGCCUAUAAAACACUAUACAACUUUCAGCAACGGAUCUCUUGGCUCUC